GCGGCGGGGGGCGGGCCUCCAUGGCGCCGCCGCCGGGUCGCGGGGAGGAGACAGCCCCUUCCCUGAGACGGGCGAGAAAAUGGCGGCCGCGGGGCUCCCUCCGCUCGCCGCCGCCCCCGGGCAUGCGCGGCCGCCCGCGGGGUCCGGCUCGCCGGGCGGGGGGUGCGGGGGGUCGCAGGGGGCGCGGCCGCCUUCGUGUUGCCUCUGGGCCCCGCGUUCGCGUUUCUUUCCCGGAGGUGUCGAGGUAUGGACAGGUAGCCAGCUGCAAGCCAUGUGAAGGAUUCUAGCAGUCUGCAGCUUGCUUUUGCCACGCUCCCAAGGCCAGUGAAGGAGACACAGCGGUUUGAGCAUGGCUUAACCAUCACCAACAAGGCAAGGAGCAGUUCACACCUCCUUUCGCCAAGCUCAGGAUGCAUCGCAUGGGCUUCUGUUAAAGGUGACCCUCCAGGAAGAGCUGCCUUCCAGAACCUGAAGUCAAACUGGUACUGACAAAAGUAUCAGCAUUUAUGCCCGUCUUUAUUUUUCGCUUUUCAGUAGCUCGGAUUUCACUGAAAAUUUCUUUGAGAUCUUCAGCACAUAGAAGGUUACAAUCAGUAAUUCAGUAUUAUAAUGAAGAGUAAUUAAGGCCUUUCACAGAUACCUGGGGGUUGGUGAUCAAGGAAAGAUCUUCCUUUGCAAGUCUUGUGUAGCGCUAUCAGGAUUAAAUGAAGUGCAACUCAUGGUUAAUGAAGUUUUUACUAUUCUGUGAACAUAAACCUUAAUCUCUUAAAAUGCUGUCCUUUUUGUCUUUCAUACAUAAUUUCUGUCCAGACUGUGUCGAUUCUAGCAUAAUCAUAUGCCAUAUUUAGCCCAGACAAAUGUUUUUAGAUUUUAUUAAUUUUAAAAUAUUGUCAAGUAGGCACACAAGUAUCUCUUCUCUAUGUAUUGACAGCUUAAUUAACAUAUCUGUAAGUUCAUCUUAGACUCCUUCCACUAACACACCAGAACACCAGUAACCUUUCAGGAAAAGAACCAGUGUUUCAGUGUGGCAGUGUUGCUGCUUUUCAGUUAGGAUUAUUAAAAAUCUCAAACAGUAAUCUCCUGGGAGUGCAGAAAUCCAGUUUAAGAGCACAAUCUGUACCAGCACACACUGGAGUGAUUAAUGAGAUUUCAGUAGAUUUUUGUAUAGCUUCCUACCUGAAGCAAAAAAAAAACCAAACCAAAAAAAAACAAUAAGAAACCAACUAAACAAAACAAAACAAAAAAACCACCACAAAACAGUGAGGACAGAUUAGUUGUCUUUCACCGCUUCCUGUAAAAUGUUAUAGGGACUCCUAAAGGUUCUAUAUUGAAUGAUAGCCAUUGCAGCAAGAAUUUUAGCAGAGGACGUUCAAGGAACCCCUGCAAGUUCCUUAUGUUCUGCUUCAUAAAGUCUGUUAGGCACACAGGUCCAAGUAAAAUGGCAUUUCUGUAAUAGUUUAAUUCUUUCUCUUUUUUUUUUUCAAGUGUAUAUUAAGUAGACAUCUGAAGAAACCACAUUUUACUCAUUUUAAGUUAGCAGUCACAAGAGAUUAGGUGCUGUUAAGUGUAACGAAGCAUGAAGAUGACAAGAUAAAUUAAUCUGAGGCUUUUCAGCUUGAUCAAAUCCUCCAGUGCAUAAUGGUAUAGAUUCUGUAUUCCAGACACAAAUGUCACCUAGGAGUCGAAAUCAUGCUAGAUGAAUCUAUGUGAGUAAGUAUAACUAAGAUAGCUUCCCCCAUCCCCCCCAGUUACCUUCCUAUUUUAAAUAUAGAAAGGAAAAUGAGUCCUCCUGAGUUAAGAGGCGAGUUAAUUGCCUGUGGGAUUUGGGAUGGGAAGUUCUUUCUAAAAUAAACACGGUAAUAAAAGCUGUUCUUUCACAUCUUAGGGGGAAAGACUGCUUCUAGUGACAGAGGACUAGACUAGACUAGACAUGCUGGUCUCUUAGGACAUUAGUACUGCACUAAUGAAGAAACUGAGGAAUAAAGUGAUGGCCUUGCAACUUACCCGUCUAAGGUGACCUACAGAAGCAAGAACAAAAUCCAGAUUUUUGAGAUCUAGCUCAGUGUUCAAGCAUAUCUUUUGCACAAAGAAACUGUGGCAUGUCUAACUCUUGCAAACAUUAUGGAAAAGAUUGCUAGCAGCCCACGUUGCUGAGGUUGAGGAGCUUACACUGAUGAAAUAGGCCAGGUAGCCUGACAGGCAGGUUGUAAUCUUGAGAAAAAUAUUCUCAGGAAGGUGGGUGGUGAUCAGAUUAGGUGGCUAAAGAUCUGCUUUAAGAAUAGUAUUGUAUUAUUAAAACAAGUACUCUGCAUUUUUAUGUAUAUUUGUCAUUCUUAAAGUUGGGUUGUGUUCUUACAAAGGAAUGAAGAGCCUUUCUACAUAGACCUUUAAAGCCAGUCCAAUCUCAGUACUAGGAAAUGUAUAGUUAGAAAGUCAGUUUGCAUACAGGUGAAGGAUUAAGAUGCUAACUGAUUGUUCCUCCCUUCCCUUCAUCUUUAAUUACAAGGAUUUCAAAUUAUGAGUGCUUCAAUAGGGUUCCUGCUAACUCACCAAGCCCACUCUAUAUACUGUACCUGUGGUCAGUAAUAUUCAUGGGAUUAUCUGUUCCAUUUUCUUUGUAUUCUUAGGAGGUCAUUACCCAUCGUAACAGAUUUUUAAAUUAUAAAAAUACACUGGGUUUUUUAUCUAUAAGCCUUAGUGUCAACUGUUCUUUCUGUUUCUAGAGAAGACUGGAGGCAUGCUGUUACAAAGCUUGCCAUUCCCAAGGCUCAUGUAAGAUACACCGCAGAACAUCUGGUGCUGCAUAUUGAAAGCUCCAUUUGUACAAUGAAUGAGCACAUUGCACAGUGUAUUUUUUCCUUUUCUUUCUUACUGCUGAUUUGUAGUGGACAUUUGUUGAUGGUGGGAAUUAGUCACUGGUUUAUAUGACUCCAGUGAAAAGGACAGCAUUGAAAAUCAUAAAUUAGAAUGUGAAUGGGUGGGCACUUACUAGUUUGGACUCAAAUACUGUAUUACUUAUGACUGUGUUACUCAUUUUUGGUAUAUUUCCAGACAAAUCAUGUUAAAAUAGGAGUCAGAAAUAUCUGGCAGUGAUUUAAUGUAACUUAAACCAAUGUGGGAGUUAUUCCAAACCUUAUUACUGUAAAUUGAAGCAAUGAAUUUCAGGAUAACCUUCAGAGAAGUAAGUCCAGAGACAGACAUGUGCAGGGAGGGCGUUCAGACAACCUUUGUGAUAGCCUGUUACUUUUCAACUUUAGGAUUUUCUAAGUACUGUGUGAAGGUUUGUAAGAAUAGAUUACAAGAGUCUACUUUGAAUUCCGUUACGAUUCUUGAUGAUUUCUCCUUGUACUUUAUGAUUUUACACCUCACAAAGAGCUGACAUCUCCAAGUAGUCAUCGCUUCCUAUAACUCACAGAGGCCUGGAAAUGCAAGUACCUCAAAAGAGAAAAGAUAAUUUUCUCUUCUGCAGAAGGUAAGCUCUCCUCUCCUCAAAAUAACACUCAUUGAAGGCAUUUAUUUACAGACUAAUUCUAUAGACUAAUUUAUAUCCCUUAACUCAAGAAGAAGCAAGAAAGAUAGCAGUUCAAUUAACUAAAACUGCUGCUUUGAGAAGUAUGGUUCCUGGUGUCAAACUUUUUUAAUUCAUCCCUAACAAUACAUUGCGACCUGUAAACUAAAAGAAAUAAAUAUUAUUUCAUACUCUCAGGGCAAAUGCUAUGAUAUUGUAAAGGGUACAUUUAAUAUACCAUAUUCUGAGUCUAAAAUUAAACCUUAAUUCCAGAGUAGCACCAAUUCCAUCCAGAAUUUUUUAGAUUUGCUGUAUUUCAGCGUGAGGAGGCUUUAGCUGUCUUGUUUAAUUCCCUCUCUCGGUUUCUUGCAACAUCCUUCAUUCUCGGAGCAGAAGUACAACACACUGGAAGAACUAGCACAAUCUCCAGCAAGAGCACAAAGCUGUGGGUUCAUGGGAAGGAUAACAUCCGUCUGCCCCCCUAGAUAAGCCAAAACCCAUGUUCCCAGCUUAUAGGUGGCUUUUUUUACCUUUUGCUCCAUGGUAAAAAUCAAAACUUUCUGUGGUAAAAUUGCCUUUAUAUUAAAACCACAGAUAAAUCCACUCUACACUCUUAAAUUUUUUUGACAGACAACUUGUAAGCUAUAAACAUUAAAAUGAUGUAUAAAUAGGGAAAGUGUUGAUAGAGCAUUUAUGUAAAAUAAGGUGUAUAUGAAAAUUAAUGUUAAAAAUGUCCUGAAUAUGGGGGAGAAUGAGAGUUCCACCAUGCCAGUUACAGCUGUUCGAUACAUGGAGUUAAAGGAGAGUUUUACAUUGUUAUUGUUACUGGUGUAACUGAUUACAUCUUCCAGUUAAAACCAUUAUCAAAGGGAAAUAAGCCUGAGCUUUUGGGAGCAUGGCAAGUUUUUCCUGCUGUAAGCUUCACAGGUUUACAGCUCUACCUCCACAAUGGUCUUUUCUUACACUAAUCCUAGAUGGUGUGUAUUCGUUUUUGUUUGUAACCAACUUUCCCUUUUAUUUGUAAUAUAUAUGUGAAAUGAUAAAAAAAUUAAUGAUUUAAAAGCAGUUAAGAUAUUCCUACCUCAGAAGCACGUCAUUGUUAUGUGCAGUUGUGCUUGUUCUGCUGAGCAGGCCCAUCUCAGUUGCAGAGGGAGUUGCAGAUAAUGCAAAAUAACUCUCUUGGAGCAGCAGCUGUUGCUAUAGGUAGACUGACCAAAAGCCUGUUGUUGUAUUUCUUUACAUGGAAACAAAUGCAUAGAUAUAUACUGUCUGAAUAAAGAACAUGGCAUUGUUGUGUGCCUGUGACAAAAAAUAAAAUAGUAUUUUAUUGGCAAAGUAUACUGAGUUUGGAUUUUAAAAAAAAUGAAAGAAAUUCACAUAUGCCGUGCAUAAACCUUGUACAACUGUGUUUGAUCAAAAUCAGUUAUUCUGGUAGUGGUACUUUCAGAGAUGGGAAUUUUAAUGACAGUGAAAAGAUACUUCUACUUCUAUGGAAUUAAAGCUUGCUGCUGUCAAGUUGCCAGCAUCCUUACAUGUGUGCUGAAGCCACCUUCCCCCUUCAUAAAUCAAGUGUGUUUAUACCUACUGUCACAAGUUGCAGAGAGACACCAGUGAUUGCUUCCGUGUUUAGAAUUUUGUGGAGUCUACUACCUAUGAGCAGACUCUGCUUAAGUGAUCUGAAACUACUAAUAGCUAAUUUUGGUUUUGACAUACUUCAGCCUCCAACAGUGUGCUGCAUCUUCUGUUACACCUUCUGGGAAUCUAUGUGUGACAAUUUCUUUUUCUCCCCACUUGGCUCCAAGCCAGAAAUACAUCAGUUUGCACAAAUGGUUCUUAACCUUGUUCACGCUGGAGGCUUUUUUUUUUUCCAUUUUUUUUUUCUUCCUGCUUCUUUGGUUGUUGCAUGUUUUUAUAGUAAAUUUAGUACUUGCAGAGUUUCCUGUAUAAUAAACCAGUGGUUACAAUG